rnacentral:rRNA from 1 species
GAUGAACGCUGGCGGCGUGCCUAAUACAUGCAAGUCGAGCGAACUGAUUAGAAGCUUGCUUCUAUGACGUUAGCGGCGGACGGGUGAGUAACACGUGGGCAACCUGCCUGUAAGACUGGGAUAACUUCGGGAAACCGAAGCUAAUACCGGAUAGGAUCUUCUCCUUCAUGGGAGAUGAUUGAAAGAUGGUUUCGGCUAUCACUUACAGAUGGGCCCGCGGUGCAUUAGCUAGUUGGUGAGGUAACGGCUCACCAAGGCAACGAUGCAUAGCCGACCGGAAGGGGUGAUCGGCCACACUGGGACUGAGACACGGCCCAGACUCCUACGGGAGGCAGCAGUAGGGAAUCUUCCGCAAUGGACGAAAGUCUGACGGAGCAACGCCGCGUGAGUGAUGAAGGCUUUCGGGUCGUAAAACUCUGUUGUUAGGGAAGAACAAGUACAAGAGUAACUGCUUGUACCUUGACGGUACCUAACCAGAAAGCCACGGCUAACUACGUGCCAGCAGCCGCCGUAA